UUGAGUGUAGAGAUUGGUUAGGAAAUAAUUUUGUGCGACAAAAUUUAGUAGAGGGGUGUUGGCAUUCGGUAUUAAAAAAAAAGGUGGGGGGGUUUCUUCCUUACCGCAUGUCUUAUCUCAAUGCCUUCUUCUCCCUCUUCUUUCCAUCUCCAUGCCCCACAACCUCCAGAUCUGAUAGAGAGAGAGGUUUUAAAGAGAGAAAAGAAGAAAAGAAGAAGAGUUCUUCUUCAUCUUCUUGGUGUCUGAUUCAGAUCCCAUC
rnacentral:lncRNA from 1 species